AUAAGUGCUGUGAAGGAAAGAGUAGCAUACAGCAACAAUUAAAGAGAGCCGGGGAAGGUGAAAGCCGGUAUUGAAGCUUUAUGUGAAGAUGGCUCUGGAGCAGUGCAGCUGAAACAUAGUAAGCUGCAACGGGUACGACCGUUACAUCGCAGGGUGAUGAUUGUCACCUACUAAGGCUCAUUCCGCAAGGUAUGGGUGAAUUAGGGUGGUACAGCGAUGCCUCGCCCCUACG
rnacentral:ncRNA from 1 species